rnacentral:lncRNA from 1 species
UGUGUCUGGUUACGGGUUCCCUAGAAGGAGACGUCUUUGUGUGGAACCCAGCCCUGGACUGUUUACCUCACAAACGGUGCUACCACAGCCUUGGGUGCUCCUGCAGGCAAAGCGCAGAGCAUCCUGGGAAAUGUAGUUCCCAUCCGCCUUAUAACUCAGGGGGCCCUUUGUCUCUUCCAGUGGGAGCCUGUGUUGCCUGCUGUGGCCUUGACUGCCUGGGCUCAACCAGUCCUGCCUCAGCCUGCAGAGUAGCCCGGACCUCGGGCGCACUUCACCAAACCCACAGGCCCUGCUUUGGGCGCAGAGCCGGCACCUGGCCUGCCAGGACGUGGCUCUGGCUCUCGAGCCAUCUGGAGGGCAGCGCAGUUCCUAGGGUUGCACGGCACCGAGUCCUACAGCUCCACCUCAGUGUUUCGUGUCCUUGGCCUUGCACACUGCCCACAGCCUGUCUCAGCUUACCUGAGAGGUCAGCAUGCCUCAGCUGCCUGGAAACUGGAGCUGCUACAGACUGAGUCAGCUUCAGCUUCCAGGCGGGAAGUAUUUCCUGCUAGACAGAAAGACAACGCAGCUGUCUCACUGUGCAGCACCUGAGCCUAACUUGACACUGCACUCAUCAGCUACCCAUCUUACUGAAACAUGGGAGGAGGAUAAAAAGUCAACUUGUUAACUGGACUGAAUGCUGGAUGACUUGCAACUAUGAUUUCUCUGUUCUUCGGCUGAGUCCCAUGUUGAAUGGAAUUUUCCCUCUAGCUAUAAACUUUUUAGCACUACUCUCCCAUCCACCUCUUAAUGCCAGCGCUACACCCACAAACAAAGAAUAAGGAGAAAUGAGGUUUCUGCUUCAUUCAGCCUAGAACUCAGCAGAAUAACUACAACACACUUUUACAAAGACAGAAUAUACACACUGAAAAUGUCCCAUGUGAGACUUGGUCCAAGUAUAUAAAGCUAUCUACAGCAUAUGGUUAUACUUAAUUAAAGG